rnacentral:tRNA from 1 species
ACUAUUUUGGCAGAAAAGUGCAUUAAAUUUAGAAUUUAAUUAUGUUUUAAAACAUUUAGUA